GAUUAACGCUGGCGGCAUGCCUAAUACAUGCAAGUCGAACGGGGUAGUUUACUACCUAGUGGCGAACGGGUGAGUAACACGUAUCUAACCUACCAUUUAGUGGGGAAUAACUGUUGGAAACGACAGCUAAUACCGCAUAUGUUAUUAAUAUGAUUUAUUAAUAAUGAAAGGAGCUUUCAAGCUUCGCUAAUUGAUGGGGAUGCGGCGCAUUAGCUAGUUGGUAAGGUAAUGGCUUACCAAGGCAAUGAUGCGUAGCCGAUCUGAGAGGAUGAACGGCCACAUUGGGACUGAGACACGGCCCAAGCUUCUACGGAAGGCAGC
rnacentral:rRNA from 1 species